GGCAGGGUCACGCGCCGCUAUUGGCCCUCGCCCGCCGAGGGGGCGGGGCAAGGCGAGAAGCUCCGCCCCUGCGCGGCCCGGGCGCGGCAUUAGGAGGUGAGGAGAAGAAAAUGUGCUCCAAAUUCAUAGGGGAGCCUGGAGCAUAAAGCAACUUCCUGGAUCUGCUGCACACUUUUGUGAGGAGCAGUAAAAGGGACCUGUGAAUACAGGUCUUGAUGAUGGCUUUACAUUCAUUUCUCACUUGCCUGGAGAGGGAAGAUUCCAUGGGGAAUGGGUAUAUUAUGUGUGGGGAGUUGUUUUUAUCAAACCUAGGAGAAUAGAUAUGGUGGUUAUCUCUUAGCAAGAGAGGCUAUGCAGUUCCUGUUAAGGAAGUAGGGAAAGCAACUCAGUUGUUAAUGCACUCAUGUUUUGAACAGUGACUGAGAUGUGAAUGUGGUUUAUCUUCAUUAAGCAUUUUUUAAAAUACUUGAAAAGUCAAAUUAUGACAGUGAUGUAUUAGGUUAACUCCAGUGCUGUCAACGAAGUAAUUAAUUGUAUUAAGCAACAGAACAAAGUGUUCUGAGCAUAUACAUCAUACGUGAGCAUGUAGCAUCCACAGUUAGUAUGUAAAUCUGAAGACUGGUGUAAUAAAGUUGGUAUAGUAACAAA